UACGUAGGCAGCGAGCGUUGUUCGGAGUUACUGGGCGUAAAGGGUGUGUAGGCGGUUGUUUAAGUUUGGUGUGAAAUCUCCCGGCUCAACUGGGAGGGUGCGCCGAAUACUGAAUGACUUGGAGUGCGGGAGAGGUGAGUGGAAUUCCUGGUGUAGCGGUGAAAUGCGUAGAUAUCAGGAGGAACACCAGUGGCGAAGGCGACACGCUGGGCCGUACCUGACACUGAUGCGCGACAGCAUGGGGAGCAAACAGG
rnacentral:rRNA from 1 species